GUGGGGAAUAUUGGACAAUGGGCGAAAGCCUGAUCCAGCCAUGCCGCGUGUGUGAAGAAGGUCUUCGGAUUGUAAAGCACUUUAAGUUGGGAGGAAGGGCAGUAAGUUAAUACCUUGCUGUUUUGACGUUACCGACAGAAUAAGCACCGGCUAACUUCGUGCCAGCAGCCGCGGUAAUACGAAGGGUGCAAGCGUUAAUCGGAAUUACUGGGCGUAAAGCGCGCGUAGGUGGUUUUGUAAGUUGGAGGUGAAAUCCCCGGGCUCAACCUGGGAACUGCCUCAAAAACUGCAUGACUAGAGUACGGUAGAUGGUAGUGGAAUUUCCUGUGUAGCGGUGAAAUGCGUAGAUAUAGGAAGGAACACCAGUGGCGAAGGCGACUACCUGGACUGAUACUGACACUGAGGUGCGAAAGCGUGGGGAGCAAACAGGAUUAGAAACCCGUGUAGUCC
rnacentral:rRNA from 1 species